GAUGAAGAACGUAGCGAAAUGCGAUAAGUAAUGUGAAUUGCAGAAUUCAGUGAAUCAUCGAAUCUUUGAACGCACAUUGCGCCCCUUGGUAUUCCGAGGGGCAUGCCUGUUCGAGCGUCAUUUCAACCCUCAAGCACAGCUUGGUCUUGGGCUUCGCCGCUAACCCGGCGGGUCUUAAAAUCAGUGGCGGUGCCGUCGGGCCCUGAGCGCAGUAAUUUCUCUCGCUAUAGGGUCCCGGCGGAUGCUGGCCAGUAACCCCCAAUUUUCUAUGGUUGACCUCGGAUCAGGUAGGGAUACCCGCUGAACUUAAGCAUAUCAAUAAGCGGAGGA
rnacentral:misc_RNA from 1 species